CCUGGCCUUGACAUACUAAGAACUUUCCAGAGAUGGAUUGGUGCCUUCGGGAACUUAGAUACAGGUGCUGUAUGGCUGUCGUCAGCUCGUGUCGUGAGAUGUUGGGUUAAGUCCCGCAACGAGCGCAACCCUUUUCCUUAUUUGCCAGCGGGUCAUGCCGGGAACUUUAAGGAUACUGCCAGUGACAAACUGGAGGAAGGCGGGGACGACGUCAAGUCAUCAUGGCCCUUACGGCCAGGGCUACACACGUGCUACAAUGGUCGGUACAAAGGGUUGCUACCUCGCGAGAGGAUGCUAAUCUCAAAAAGCCGAUCGUAGUCCGGAUCGCAGUCUGCAACUCGACUGCGUGAAGUCGGAAUCGCUAGUAAUCGCGGAUCAGAAUGCCGCGGUGAAUACGUUCCCGGGCCUUGUACACACCGCCCGUCACACCAUGGGAGUUUGUUGCACCAGAAGUAGGUAGUCUAACCGCAAGGAGGACGCUUACCACGGUGUGGCCGAUGACUGGGGUGAAGUCGUAACAAGGUAGGCGUAGAUGA
rnacentral:rRNA from 1 species